AAGUAAUUGAAAGAAAAAAAGAUUCUGACAAACCUUUUGAGUUGAAAGUUGAAACACCUGUGAAGGGAAACCUGUAUUGUCACAAUCAAGUGAAAGAAGAAUUUAAAAAAGAAACCAUAAAGGGAAAGCAAGACAACAAAAAAAAUUUAGAUGAUGAACGCAUAAAUUUAAAGCAAUGCAAAGAAAUUAGAGUAAAGAUGAUCAUAAAUUACACGGAAGUGAAGCAAGAACUGUUGUGAAAGCAACUGGGGCAGAAAACGAUGUUCAUAGGGACUAAAGGCAAUUUAAAAAUAAAUUUGAACCAUACCUUAUUAAUGGCACAUCAGUAAUGAAUCAUAAACGCUAUCUCAUCCUGUAAUAUUCCUUCUACUGUCAUUU
rnacentral:misc_RNA from 1 species